ensembl:lncRNA
GCUCGUGGUAAUGACUAGAGCAGAAUCAGUGGCAUGGUAUCAAAUACCCCAAACAUAUGGUUUCCAUGUGUUUGAUGCCAUUCCAUUAGCUCAGUUCCAGCCAUUAUUAUGAACCGUCAUCUCCACAGUAGCAUCCAUUGGAUUACACUAUAGUUGACUACAGUCUAAAUAUAUAUUGAUAAUGGAAAAAAGUGGAGGGCGCUCAACCAACGUGAGCCAAGUGCAAUCAACAUUGAAAACGUGAGCGCCAGCUACGAGCGAACAUUGCGUCUUUUAAUUUACUAUUGAUUACCCAUUUGUCUGCCUGCAAAUCGUCCUCCUAAAAGGACCUGAGCCCUAGGACCAUGCCUCAGGACUACCUGGCCUGAUGACUCCUUGCUGUCCCCAGUCCACCUGGUCGUGCUGCUGCUCCAGUUUCAACUGUUCUGCCUGCGGCUAUGGAACCCUGACCUGUUCACCGGACGUGCUACCUUGUCCCGGACCUGCUGUUUUCAACUCUCUCUCUCUACCAUACCUGCUGUCUCUAACUCUGAAUGAUCGGCUAUGAAAAGCCAACUGACAUUUACUCCUGAGGUGCUAACCUGUUGCACCCUCUACAACCACUGUGAUUAUUAUUAUUUGACCCUGCUGGCCAUCUAUGAACGUUUGAACAUCUUGGCCAUGUAUUGUUAUAAUCUCUAUCCGGCACAGCCAGAAGAGGACUGACCAGCUCUCAGAGCCUGGUUUCUCUCUAGGUUUCUUCCUAGGUUACUGCCUUCCUAGGGAGUUUUUCCCAUCCACCGUGCUUCUACAUCUGCAUUGCUUGCUGUUUGGGGUUUUAGGCUGGGAUUCUGUAUAGCACUUUAACAUCGUCUGAUGUAAAAAGGGCUUUAUAAAUACAUUUGAUUGAUUUGAUUGAGUGUAGACCUCACAGUGAAAUGCUUACUUACAAGCCCCUAACCAACAAAGCAGUUUAAAAAAUAUGAUUUAAGAAUAAGAAAUAAAAGUAACAAGUUGUUAAAGAGCAGCAGUAAAAUAACAAUAGUGAGACUAUAUACAGGGGGUACCAGUACAGAGUCAAUGUGUGGGGGCACCGGUUAGUUGAGGUAAUAUGUACACUACCGUUCAAAAGUUUGGGGUCACUUAGAAAUAUCCUUGUUUGGUCAGAAAUACAGUGUAGACAUUGUUAAUGUUGUAAAUGUCUAUUGUCACUGGAAACGACAGAUUUGUUAUGGAAUAUCUACGUAGGCGUACAGAGGCCCAUUAUCAGCAACCAUCAAAUCAAAUCAAAUCAAAUUUUAUUUGUCACAUACACAUGGUUAGCAGAUGUUAAUGCGAGUGUAGCGAAAUGCUUGUGCUUCUAGUUCCGACAAUGCAGUAAUAACCAACAAGUAAUCUAACUAACAAUUCCAAAACGACUGUCUUAUACACAGUGUAAGGGGAUAAAGAAUAUGUACAUAAGGAUAUAUGAAUGAGUGAUGGUACAGAGCAGCAUAGGCAAGAUACAGUAGCUGAUAUCGAGUACAGUAUAUACAUAUGAGAUGAGUAUGUAAACAAAGUGGCAUAGUUAAAGUGGCUAGUGAUACAUGUAUUACAUAAGGAUGCAG